GGUCCAAGAAUCACAUUUUGAGAACCACUGCUUUUGGCCAAGUCUCCAUGAGUGAAAGUUCUCAACCUCUGAUUGCAAGUUUAUUUUGACUAUUUACCAUAAUGUCAACUUCAAUGCUCUUCUUGAAGGCAUGACUUGUCAUCCUAAUAUAAUUAGCCCCUCUUUCAGCAGAUCAGACCUACGAUAUGCCUCAGCCUCUGGAGGACACGGAGAAAAUGGAAGCCAUGGAGGAGAAAAGAGAAAAGUGUCAGAGGACCAGGAUAUACCCUCAGGACUAGCACUGUGCCUGCCAUAGAAUGGGGUCUGCUCAGUGUUUUUUGGGUUGAGCUUCAUCUUAGAAUGAAAUUCUAAAUUGAGGGGGCUAAAGGAGUUGAAAAUGGUAUCUGUAAUACUAAAUUUCAGACUGCUGCACAAUAUAUCAGUUUUAGGUAAUUUUUAAAAGAUAAACAAGUACAAGACUUCAAAGAAGUCUCUCCCUGGUGAAGGGUCCCUUCCGGCUUCACCUUAGAGUCUCUGCACUUUUAGUUCAUCUCAUUCGGGUGUUUCAAGGGAACAGAAAAGCCCUGGUUUAGAUGAUGCAGGGUUUUCUGAUGCCAAAGUGAGAAUGAUAAAAUGUCUGAAGGAAGAACAGGAUGCUAUGCAUUCCAGGCAGAAUCUGGACUUGAAAACAAUGAAGCACAAAUGCUUUUAGAUGAACUGAUUCACUUUUAUUUUGUAAACAUCCUAGAAGAAUUCCAUUUGCACUGAACUGUUUGAACCACUGCAGAGCUCUUGGUCCUUGUAAUCCCCAAGGAAAGUCAAUCUAUCCCGUCCUGCUACAUCUAUCCCGUCCUGCUACACUGUGUUUCUCCACUUUGCCCCUUUUCUCAGUUCUUUGUGAUCAGCAUAAAGUUUGAACCCUUCCUCUUCUCACCGUCCUGACUGGCCACCUGUCCAGCCCUGCGGUCAGCUGUACUGACCAGCAGACGGUGCCUCUCUUGCCAAGUGGAGCCGAUGCUCUGUAACCAUUGUUUGUGGGGCCACACUGCCGUCCCCAUCGUUGCCCCUCCAGGACACUCGUCAACAGCUGUGAGAGGCUUCCCAUCCUGGCCUAUAUAAAAGGAAGGCCUGAAAACGCUUCUCGGAGCAUCAGUUCAUAGGUCACCGCAACCGGCCGAACAAUACGCGAUUAUUCAGUGGGCUCCAAUUCAUUUGCCUUCUGCUCCUCCCCCACCGUUACCCUUGAGAGAAAACUAAUUUGCAGAAAAAUAGCCCCUGCCAGCCAACUUCUUCUCCUAAAUGUAUGCUGACCCCGAAC